rnacentral:lncRNA from 1 species
GUUUGUUGCUCCUGGGUUCAAACAGCAAACACUCACCGCCGAUCUCCCUUCCUCCCUGGCAGGACGCUUCGGGCCCGGCUCAGGAGCGGAUCGUGAACAAACUGACCGAUGCCCUGCAGUCCACGCUCUCUUGGAACAGCCGGAUUUUCCGUGGCGGUGCGAGGACCCCGUCGGCUCCGAUGAAGCAGCUUCCCGGAUCACACCCUGCCAGCCAAGUCCGGUUCGCCGUGUCGCUGCAACGCAAGAACGAGAGCUCCCCUCCUGUGGCCUGCCGGGCGAGCGACUCGUCUGUUGGGCAAGAAGACCACCAGAAUCAGCGAUCCGCCCCGGUCCAGUCCCUGAGCCAUGGGCUACUGCACUGGGGGGACCUUGUGGCCCCCCAAAUACCCAGCCCGAAACCAAAGUACCGUGGAGCCUCAGUUCAGAUCGGGGCACCCGGGAUCCCCAACGGAGACGCGGCCUUGGUCGGCAAGAGCACGGAGGACACUCGGGGUCCCUCAGCAUUCCCGGAUUUUCACAAGAAGGGACAGGAGAGCAGCCACCUCAACGCUUUCCUCUACCCGGAUCCUUUGCACCAAAACUGCCUCCAGAGCAGGAAGGCCUGCCAUGCACAAACAUGCCAGCAGGAGCGUGGAACCGUCCAGCCGAGAACAAGGACCUUACAGAGGGCCCCGGGGCCUCCCGUUUGCAUCUCCGGCCGGCACCUGGAGCCCCGCCAACUCGGAUGGAAGGAGAGGCUGAAGUCCGUCGUGUGUGCCUUGAUGUGACCACGACUGGGCUCCCGAUGGACCACCGGACGGGAACCUAGGAGGGAUUCUAGGUCCAAACGGCCAUUCCACAAACAGCCGCCGGCUGCAGAUCCUCCGACGGACACGACACCCUGUCGGGGAAAGCAGCUGCCGACAAGUCACCCAAAAUGAGGACAAAGAAGGUCCACAUUACUUGCACAAAAAUUGCAUUGGCUGAUAUGUGUAUAUACCGAUAUGUGUAUGUGCAGAGGCAAAAUUAGACGUGGUUCUCGCUAUUUAAAAAUUCAGGCGUGGAACUUUCUCCUGACUCCACUGCUGCUACCCGGAGAUGAUCGUGGCUGCAUAACUCUGCACCAGGAUGGUGACCGAUAAAUGAAUACUAUCGGUGAAGGAGAAAGCUUAAAUUGAACACAGGCAGGAUUUUGUUUGGGCAGAUGGCCCCGCCGCGUCUUACGUCUUGAGUAGAACGCUAAAAACCAAAUUGCAAAUCGUGGUAAAUAAAAAACGGCAACCGGUUCA